CCGCUUCCGCCUUCCUUCAUUCUCUUGAUGGGGAUUUAGGCUACAGCACUGGGAAAAUAAUCCUGGGACUGGAUUUCAGGGCCCUGGCCACCUCAGCUCUUCAGGAAUGAAAAGCAUAAUGUUUUCCAUGGUGAUGCUGUGUCUCUACCUCCUCCCUCUGAACCUUGUGAGAGCCACGAACUAGGCUGGACUUUGGUGUCUGCCCUUCAGAUGAUUGGUGCCAUAAGAGGGCCACAAGCGGGUUGCAUUUAAUUUUCUGAAAGCACAUCUUUUUAGAAGAUGUCUCUGUGAAGGUCUACUGUAUAAGAAAUUGUAGUUCCACAAGGGAAGGAGACAGGAUGGGGAAAAGGCUUUUUAAUGUCAGCUCCAAAACUCGAAGCGUACAUAUCAGGAGCUUGGAAGAAAAGCCUGGAGAAAGAGUGGAGCACUCUUUUUAAUACCUGAUGCAGAUUACAUCUUCUGAUGCCCCCCAAGGUGCUAUUACAGAGGACAACAUGGACAUCAACACCUCUGAUUCAGAAAAAUUGAUCUCUGAAUGGAAGAAGCAAAAGGAAUCUUAAUGAAUUGGAGACAAUUGGAGAUGGUUUAUAAGGAUGAAGUUCAAAGGUUUUUCUUUAGAAGCCAUUGAGUUGGUAGUCUAGGAGAGCACCUUGUAGUGGUAUUUGCAUAAGGAGAAAGAUGUCAAAUAUUCAAAGAUGCCUUUACUCAAAGAGCCAGUGGCACUUAAGUGGCCAAAUAGCUUACAAGCACUUAUUAAGAUGAAUGGAUAAAGAAGAUGUGGUAUAGAUACACAAUAGAAUAUUACUCAGCCAUUAAAAGGGAAUAAACUAUUGCCAUCUGCAACAACAUGGAUUGAACCGGAGGGUAUUAUGAUAAGUGAAGUAAGUCAAAGACAAAUAUUGUAUGUUUUCACCUAUAUGUGUAAUCAAGAAAAAUAAAUGAACAAAUAUAGCAAAACAGAAAUAGACUCAUAGAUAGAACAUACUAGUGGUUUUCAAUAUUAAAAAAAUAUUGAAUCACUAUAUUGUAUAUGUGAAACUAAUAUGAUAUUGUAAGUUAAAUAGACUUCAAUUUUUAAAAAAAGUAAUUUUAAAAAACAAUAGAGGAGUUUCCACUGUGUGACUUCCAUGGCUCUGGUCACUGUGGAGGUGCAGGUUUGAUCCCCAGCCCAGUGCAGUGGGUUAAAGGAUUUGGCAUUGCCACUGCUGCAACUCGGAUUUAGUCCUUGGCCCAGGAACUUCCAUAGGCCGUGGGUGCAGCCAUUGGAAAAAAAAAAAAGCAGAAAACAGUGCUUUCAUUAUACACUGAGGCUCACUGAAUAUAAUGAUGCAUGUAGGACUCUUGGCAAAAUACCUGAGUCAAAAUAAAAGCUCCAGAAAUGGUACUUGCUGCAGAAAUUGUUACUAUUGCAGCUGUUCAGAAAUAGAAAUUUAGUGAUAUGCCUCUAAGAGAUUUGACAACCUGUAUCCAUCAGUUCUUGUGUGUGCCAUCCCAAAUAUUGCUUCUUAUCUGUCUUAAAAUGUGCACAAGAUAGAGCCAAAUAGUGAGCCCCACACAUGACCUUCAGUCACUGCUGUGACCUGAGCCAAGAGGCCCCUAGUGCCUCUCAGUUUAUGUCUCAGCUCCAACAGGGCUAAGCUCUUACAAUUUCGAUCCAGCCACCUGCCUCACUUCCACUGUGACCACAUCAGAUUCAAUUUUAGAGCAGGAGAGAAUGAGAAAGCACCUAGCUACUGCUCUUCUAGAAGCUACCUGAGAAAUCAGUCCUCUUGGCCACUAUUGAGCCUUCUAAGCAGCCUGAACUGAAAACUGUUAUGCCACAUAAGAGGGUAACCUUUCUUCCAUUAGAGUGUUGUCUUUUUUUUUCUUUAUUGAAUCACUGGCUUCAUCAUUUUGGGAUUUAUGACUGAAAUUUCUAUCUUCUUUGAAUUAAACCCUGUGGUUAAGUAGUGGUUCUUUUAUACUUAUACUGAUUCAUAGUUUAGAAGAAAGUGGGGGGAAAGAAGGAAAAGAAAAUGAUGAGGAUAAAACCACCACUUGGCUUUUUUCUUCUUAAAUUUUUUUUAGUUUAGUUUUAGGUAAAACAGUAUUUGAUUGAUUAAUGCUUAAAACAAUAUUACUGUAAAGUGAGAACUUUGAGGUGGUGUUGUCAUGGAAAUAGGAAGGAGAGUAAUCCAGAAUCAUUUUUCUCUUUCCUACAAAAACUAAAACAUAUGGGCAUAGGUCUUGAAUGAACAGUUAAUACUGAUACUUGCUUUUAAAAGUUACUCAUACUUUUCCCAAGACUCAACUAGGAAAGCUGCUUCUGUUAUUAAUCAAAUGAUCUCAAUAAAAUAUGCUGAGCUAGUUUA
rnacentral:lncRNA from 1 species